rnacentral:rRNA from 1 species
AGAUUGAACGCUGGCGGCAGGCCUAACACAUGCAAGUCGAGCGGAUGAAGGGAGCUUGCUCCCUGAUUCAGCGGCGGACGGGUGAGUAAUGCCUAGGAAUCUGCCUGGUAGUGGGGGACAACGUUUCGAAAGGAACGCUAAUACCGCAUACGUCCUACGGGAGAAAGCAGGGGACCUUCGGGCCUUGCGCUAUCAGAUGAGCCUAGGUCGGAUUAGCUAGUUGGUGAGGUAAUGGCUCACCAAGGCUGCGAUCCGUAACUGGUCUGAGAGGAUGAUCAGUCACACUGGAACUGAGACACGGUCCAGACUCCUACGGGAGGCAGCAGUGGGGAAUAUUG